UACGGGGGGGGCAAGCGUUGUUCGGAAUUACUGGGCGUAAAGGGCUCGUAGGCGGCCAACUAAGUCAGACGUGAAAUCCCUCGGCUUAACCCGGGAACUGCGUCCGAUACUGGAAGGCUUGAAUCCGGGAGAGGGAUGCGGAAUUCCAGGUGUAGCGGUGAAAUGCGUAGAUAUCUGGAGGAACACCGGUGGCGAAGGCGGGUCUCUGGACAGUUCCUGACACUGAGACACGAAGGCCAGGGGAGCAAACGGG
rnacentral:rRNA from 1 species